rnacentral:rRNA from 1 species
GCUGUAAAACUAGCCUACACACCAAAUCACUCUUUUCCCCCCCCCCCCCCCCCAUAAACCAUUUUUACAAGCUAGUAUGGGCGACAGAAAACCUUAUAGCGCAAUAGACAAAGUACUGCAAAGGAAAAAUGAAAUAGAAAUGAAAUAAUUAUAAAAACACAACAAAGCAAAGACUAAAACCUGUACCUUUUGCAUAAUGGUCUAGCAAGUCUUCCCAACAAAAAGAACUUCAGCCGGAUACCCCGAAACCAAACGAGCUACCCCUGGGCAGCCACACGAGCAAACCCAUCUCUGUAGCAAAAGAGUGGGAAGACCCAAAGGUAGAGGCGAAAAACCUAACGAGCUUGGAUAUAGCUGGUUACUUGAGAAAGAAUUUAAGUUCAACUAAAAGUAAUACUAACACCCAAAAGACAAACUAAUACUUUUAUUUUAAUUAACCAGGGGACAGCCCAGUUAAUAAAGGAAACAACCUACAUAAAUGAAUAAAGAUUAUAAACAAACGGGAUAUAGCACAAUAGGCCUAAAAGCAGCCAUUAUGAAAGCGUCAAAGCUCGGCUCCCCAUAAACCUAUAAUUCCAAUAAUAAAUCCUAAUUCACUAAAACAAUCAAGUUAAUCUAUUCUUAGAAAUAUUAUUGCUAGAACAAGUAACAAGGAAACCUCCUCAUAAUAUGCCUGUAAAUCGAAAUGAAACAUCACCGAUAAUUAACGAAACACAGUAUUUUCUUUUACAAGAACCACAAAUUAUACUUAUCGUUAACCCGACACAGGGGUAUUUAAGAAAGAUUUAAGCCCAGGGAAGGAACUCGGCAAAACGGAGCUUCGCCUGUUUACCAAAAACAUCGCCUCUUGAAUAAUAAACAUAAGAGGUACUGCCUGCCCAGUGACACUCGUUCAACGGCCGCGGUAUUAUGACCGUGCAAAGGUAGCGUAAUCACUUGUCUUUUAAAUAAAGACCAGUAUGAAUGGCAAAACGAAAGCUCAACUGUCUCCCCUAGCCAGUCAGUGAAAUUGAUCUCCCCGUGAAGAAGCGGGAAUAUCUAUACAAGACGAGAAGACCCUAUGGAGCUUUAAACCUAUUUAACUUCACUCUAACAAAAUUUAACUGACAAUUUUUAUAUAAAGGUUUUAGGUUGGGGCGACCGCGGGGUAAAGCAAAACCCCCGAGAUGAAUUUAAGCGAAGAAAAACCCUUCAAAGCAACAACAAUAUUGACUAAUUGACCCAAUAAUUGAUCAACGAACCAAGUUACCCUAGGGAUAACAGCGCAAUCCUCCCACAAAGUCCCUAUCGACGGGUGGGUUUACGACCUCGAUGUUGGAUCAGGACCCCCAAAUGGUGCAACCGCUAUUAAAGGUUCGUUUGUUCAACGAUUAAAGUCCUACGUGAUCUGAGUUCAGACCGGAGUAAUCCAGGUCAGUUUCUAUCUGUAAACAGACUUUUCUAGUACGAAAGGACCGAAAAGACAAGGCCUAUAAAUAAUUUAAGCCUUAUCAUUUUUCUCUGAACACAAAUAAAGAGAUAAACUGAGAAAAAAAGAGUCUUAUAUGACUU